CGGUAACGCGNGGCAACCUGGCGACGAGUGGCGAACGGGUGAGUAAUAUAUCGGAACAUACCCUAGAGUGGGGGAUAACGUAGCGAAAGUUACGCUAAUACCGCAUACGAACUGAGGUUGAAAGUGGGGGAUCGCAAGACCUCAUGCUCAUGGAGUGGCCGAUAUCUGAUUAGCUAGUUGGUAGGGUAAAAGCCUACCAAGGCGACGAUCAGUAGCUGGUCUGAGAGGACGACCAGCCACACUGGAACUGAGACACGGUCCAGACUCCUACGGGAGGCAGCAGUGGGGAAUUUUGGACAAUGGGCGCAAGCCUGAUCCAGCAAUGCCGCGUGAGUGAAGAAGGCCUUCGGGUUGUAAAGCUCUUUUGUCAGGGAAGAAACGGUGGUUCCUAAUACGGACUACUAAUGACGGUACCUGAAGAAUAAGCACCGGCUAACUACGUGCCAGCAGCCGCGGUAAUACGUAGGGUGCAAGCGUUAAUCGGAAUUACUGGGCGUAAAGCGUGCGCAGGCGGUUAUAUAAGUCAGAUGUGAAAUCCCCGGGCUCAACCUGGGAACUGCAUUUGAGACUGUAUGGCUAGAGUGUGUCAGAGGGGGGUAGAAUUCCACGUGUAGCAGUGAAAUGCGUAGAUAUGUGGAGGAAUACCGAUGGCGAAGGCAGCCCCCUGGGAUAACACUGACGCUCAUGCACGAAAGCGUGGGGAGCAAACAGGAUUAGAUACCCUGGUAGUCCACGCCCUAAACGAUGUCUACUAGUUGUCGGGACUUAAUUGUCUUGGUAACGCAGCUAACGCGUGAAGUAGACCGCCUGGGGAGUACGGUCGCAAGAUUAAAACUCAAAGGAAUUGACGGGGACCC
rnacentral:rRNA from 1 species